rnacentral:misc_RNA from 1 species
GAACGCACAUUGCGCCCCGUGGUAUUCCGCGGGGCAUGCCUGUUCGAGCGUCAUUUAAACCAAUCCAGCUUGCUGGGUCUUGGGCUAUCGCCUCCGGGCGGGCCUCAAAAUCAGUGGCGGCGCCACCCGGCUCUAAGCGUAGUAAUACUUCUCGCUACAGGGCUCCGGGUGGAAGCUGGCCAACAACUCCCAAUUUUCAAAGGUUGACCUCGGAUCAGGUAGGGAUACCCGCUGAACUUAAG